GACGAACGCUGGCGGCAUGCCUAAUACAUGCAAGUCGAGCGAACAGAUGAAGUGCUUGCACUUCUGACGUUAGCGGCGAACGGGUGGGUAACACGUAAGGAAUCUACCUAUAAGCGGGGGAUAACAUUCGGAAACGGGUGCUAAUACCGCAUAAUAUCUUCUUCCGCAUGGAAGAAGAUUGAAAGACGGCUCUGCUGUCACUUAUAGAUGACCUUGCGGUGCAUUAGUUAGUUGGUGGGGUAAUGGCCUACCAAGACGAUGAUGCAUAGCCGGCCUAGGAGGGGGAUCGGCCACAUCGGGACUGAGACACGGCCCAAACUCCUACGGGAGGCAGCAGUAGGGAAUCUUCCGCAAUGGGCGAAAGCCUGACGGAGCAAUGCCGCGUGAGUGAAGAAGGCCUUCGGGUCGUAAAACUCUGUUAUAAGAGAAGAACAAAUUGUAGAGUAACUGCUACAGUCUUGACGGUAUCUUAUCAGAAAGCCACGGCUAACUACGUGCCAGCCGCCGCGGUAA
rnacentral:rRNA from 1 species